rnacentral:rRNA from 1 species
GAUGAACGCUGGCGGCGUGCCUAAUACAUGCAAGUCGAGCGAACAGACGAGGAGCUUGCUCCUCUGACGUUAGCGGCGGACGGGUGAGUAACACGUGGAUAACCUACCUAUAAGACUGGGAUAACUUCGGGAAACCGGAGCUAAUACCGGAUAAUAUAUUGAACCGCAUGGUUCAAUAGUGAAAGACGGUUUUGCUGUCACUUAUAGAUGGAUCCGCGCCGCAUUAGCUAGUUGGUAAGGUAACGGCUUACCAAGGCAACGAUGCGUAGCCGACCUGAGAGGGUGAUCGGCCACACUAGAACUGAGACGCGGUCCAGACUCCUACGGGAGGCAGCAGUAGGGAAUCUUCCGCAAUGGGCGAAAGCCUGACGGAGCAACGCCGCGUGAGAGAUGAAGGUCUUCGGAUCGUAAAACUCUGUUAUUAGGGAAGAACAAAUGUGUAAGUAACUAUGCACGUCUUGACGGUACCUAAUCAGAAAGCCACGGCUAACUACGUG